AUUGAACGCUGGCGGCAUGCUUUACACAUGCAAGUCGAACGGUAACAGGCCGCAAGGUGCUGACGAGUGGCGAACGGGUGAGUAAUGCAUCGGAACGUGCCCAGUCGUGGGGGAUAACGCAGCGAAAGCUGCGCUAAUACCGCAUACGAUCUAUGGAUGAAAGCGGGGGACCGUAAGGCCUCGCGCGAUUGGAGCGGCCGAUGUCAGAUUAGGUAGUUGGUGGGGUAAAGGCUCACCAAGCCAACGAUCUGUAGCUGGUCUGAGAGGACGACCAGCCACACUGGAACGGAGACACGGCCCAGACUCCUACGGGAGGCAGCAGUGGGGAAUUUUGGACAAUGGGCGCAAGCCUGAUCCAGCAAUGCCGUGUGCAGGAAGAAGGCCUUCGGGUUGUAAACUGCUUUUGUACGGAACGAAACGGCUCUGGUUAAUACCUGGGGCUAAUGACGGUACCGUAAGAAUAAGCACCGGCUAACUACGUGCCAGCCGCCGCCGUAACAC
rnacentral:rRNA from 1 species